UAGGAACGGGUAUACCUCGCCGCGGAGC
rnacentral:sRNA from 1 species